rnacentral:rRNA from 1 species
UACGGGGGGGGUAAGCGUUGUUCGGAAUUACUGGGCGUAAAGGGCUCGUAGGCGGCCAACUAAGUCAGACGUGAAAUCCCUCAGCUUAACUGGGGAACUGCGUCUGAUACUGGAUGGCUUGGAUUUGGGAGAGGGAUGCGGAAUUCCAGGUGUAGCGGUGAAAUGCGUAGAUAUCUGGAGGAACACCGGUGGCGAAGGCGGCAUCCUGGACCAACAUUGACGCUGAGGAGCGAAAGCCAGGGGAGCAAACGGG